rnacentral:rRNA from 1 species
UACGUAGGGUGCAAGCGUUUAAUCGGAAUUACUGGGCGUAAAGCGUGCGCAGGCGGUUUUGUAAGUCUGUCGUGAAAUCCCCGGGCUCACUGGGAAUUGCGAUGGAGACUGCAAGGCUAGAAUCUGGCAGAGGGGGGUAGAAUUCCACGUGUAGCAGUGAAAUGCGUAGAGAUGUGGAGGAACACCGAUGGCGAAGGGCAGCCC